UACGUAGGGGGCAAGCGUUGUCCGGAUUUAUUGGGCGUAAAGAGCGUGUAGGCGGUUUGGUAGGUCCGUUGUGAAAACUCGAGGCUCAACCUCGAGACGCCGGCGGAAACCAUCAGGCUAGAGUCCGGAAGAGGAGAGUGGAAUUCCUGGUGUAGCGGUGAAAUGCGCAGGAUAAUCAGGAAGAACACCCGUGGCUAAGGCGGCUCUCUAGUACGGUACUGACGCUGAGACGCGAAAGCGUGGGGAGCGAACAGG
rnacentral:rRNA from 1 species